CCCUUCCUCCCAUUGGUCCGCUCGCCUGCCCCUCUCAUUGCGCGCGCUCGCUAUCACGCUCUCCCGCAUGCUCUCUCCUCUCCUCUCGCGAUUCCUACGGUCAUCCUCCCCACCACCGGUCGCCGGAGACUCCCCCGUCCGCACCCCCGCGGCGACCUGCCGCGCCAGCUCGCUCGACAUCUACGUGGGUACAUGGGCGUCCGGAUAGAAAUGUUCUCCCCAAUGCACACGCGGGACAGAAAGGAGCUCGCUUUCCAUGCAGAAAUAUAAGCGAGCACAGCUAUGUAAAAUCAUCCUAAUAAAUACGUAGAAUCAAUUAAUUUCUCCUUAAAGUUCAAUUAUGUGGAGAACAAUGGAGUCUGCAGAUAAAAGUAGAGAUAAGUAUAUAAUAAUGACGAAUUAAUCGACGAUUACUUCGUCAUUAUGUUUAGUUAUCGAUAAUGAAAACCGAUUUGUACAAAGUUUCAUGGUCUGACAAAGAAGAUGUGUUAUGCAAGAUAUGUGUGAUGAAUUUAUGCAACCGCUGACAUUAAAAGAAGACAUAGAACGAUAACGUUUGUCUAACAGAAUUGAGAAACAAUAUACAAUAUUAAUAAAUAAUUUAAAUUAUUACGUCAAUGCUACACAAUAAUAACUUCUUGUACAUCUUUAUAACGUAUGACUUGAUGACGAACGGCUUUUGAUCAUGGUUUUACUAUAAAGUCAAUAUAUAAUUUAAUAUCUUAAUGAAA